GGCUGGUCUGAGUACAGUGGUGUUUACAACUAAUUUAUUACAACCAGUUACAGAUUUCUUUGUUCUUUUUCUACUCCCACUGCUUGACUUGAGCAGCCAAAU
rnacentral:Y_RNA from 1 species